rnacentral:rRNA from 1 species
AAGCGGUGGAGUAUGUGGUUUAAUUCGAUGCAACGCGAAAACCUUACCCACCUUUGACAUGUACGGAAUCCUUUAGAGAUAGAGGAGUGCUCGAAAGAGGAGCCGUUAACACAGGUGCUGCAUGGCUGUCGUCAGCUCGUGUCGUGAGAUGUUGGGUUAAGUCCCGCAACGAGCGCAACCCUUGUCAUUAGUUGCUACAUUCAGUUGGGCACUCCAAUGAGACUGCCGGUGACAAACCGGAGGAAGGUGGGGAUGACGUCAAGUCCUCAUGGCCCUUAUAGGUGGGCUACACACGUCAUACAAUGGAUGGUACAAAGGGUCGCUAACCCGCGAGGGGGAGCCAAUCCCAUAAAGCCAUUCGUAGUCCGGAUCGCAGUCUGCAACUCGACUGCGUGAAGUCGGAAUCGCUAGUAAUCGUGGAUCAGAAUGUCACGGUGAAUACGUUCCCGGGUCUU